rnacentral:tRNA from 1 species
GCCAAUGUGAUGUAGUGGUUUGAAUGUUGGACUAUGACUCUAGAGACCAAGGUUUGAAUCCCAGCUUGAUCA